GUCUAUGGCCAUGCUACCCUGAACAAGUCCAAUCCCGUCUGAUCUCAGAAGCUAAGCAGGGUCGGGCCUGGUUAGUACUUGGAUGGGAGACUACCUAGGAAGACCAGAUGCUAUAGGCA
rnacentral:rRNA from 1 species